rnacentral:tRNA from 1 species
UUAAUUAUAAGCUAAAUAAAGCUAAUGGAUUCAUAUUUCAUUUAUAUAAAAAUUUUUAAAAAAAA